GUACUUGCAGAUAAAAUUUUAAAAUCUAUGUGCAGAAUUUUACAUUUACCCCUAUUACAUGUCAUAAUUUCAGGAUAUAUAGGGCAUUUUGAAUCCUGUUUCUAUUAUUCAACUCAUUAGGUAUUCCUCAAAAGGAUUCUGUCUAUGCAAGAUUGAUAGUAUCACCUUUUAUAUCUUCAUCAACAUUCUACAUAAAAUAUUUGGACAGAGCCAGACACAAAGCCCUCAGACACCACACAAGACAUUACCUUUCAGAUAUUAAUAGCAGUGGCAAUAUGACCUUACAAGUUCUUUCAGCGCCCUGAAAUUUAGCUUAAUUUGUCUAUUAUGAAGCACAAGUUUCAGAACGGGGUACUACUUUCUUGCCAAGAACCAGUCCUAAGUUCUUCAGUGGAGAAGACCAGUGGAUGAUCCUGUCCUUUUCUUCUCAGCCUUUGUCUUUUCAUCAGGAAUACUUUGAAGUAUUCUAUUUCAUUAAAGGCACAUCCCCCCUCCCCAUGAAGGACUGAACUCUCUUUUGCUGUAUGAAAACUCUAAAUUUUGGUUAUGAAAGGAUUGGUACUAGAGAAAUCUGAGAAGACUAUGAAUUGAAAGGAUGAAGUGAGUAGAAUGAGAACACUUUACAACAUAAAAACAAAAUUGUAAAAAUGAAAACCUUUGAAAGACUUAAGACCUCUGAUCAAAGCAAUAAUCAACCAAGACUGCAGAGAACCAUUAAUGUAGAAUGUUACCAUCCUUCUUACAGAUAAGUGAUGACUAAAUAAAAAGAAUGAGACAUAUUUUGAACUUGGG